rnacentral:rRNA from 1 species
UACGGGGGGAGCAAGCGUUGUUCGGAUUUACUGGGCGUAAAGGGCGCGUAGGCGGCCACCGCAAGUCGGUUGUGAAAUCUCUGGGCUUAACCCAGAAAGGUCAACCGAUACUGCGGGGCUAGAGUGCAGAAGGGGCAACUGGAAUUCUCGGUGUAGCGGUGAAAUGCGUAGAUAUGGGGAGGAACACCGGUGGCGAAGGCGGCCAUCUGGACGGAUACUGACGCUGAGACGCGAAAGCGUGGGGAGCAAACAGG